rnacentral:rRNA from 1 species
AGCGGCGAACGGGUGAGUUUACGAAGGUGAUCUGCCCAUCAGACGGGGACAACGAUUGGAAACGAUCGCUAAUACCGGAUAGGACGAAAGUUUAAAGGUGCUUCUGGCACCGCUGAUGGAUGAGCCUGCGGCGCAUUAGCUAGUUGGUAGGGUAAAGGCCUACCAAGGCGACGAUGCGUAGCCGACCUGAGAGGGUGAACGGCCACACUGGGACUGAGACACGGCCCAGACUCCUACGGGAGGCAGCAGUAGGGAAUCUUCGGCAAUGGGCGAAAGCCUGACCGAGCAACGCCGCGUGAAUGAUGAAGGCCUUCGGGUUGUAAAAUUCUGUUAUAAGGGAAGAACGACUUUAGUAGGAAAUGGCUAGAGUGUGACGGUACCUUAUGAGAAAGCCACGGCUAACUACGUGCCAGCAGCCGCGGUAAUACGUAGGUGGCGAGCGUUAUCCGGAAUUAUUGGGCGUAAAGAGCGCGCAGGUGGUUGAUUAAGUCUGAUGUGAAAGCCCACGGCUUAACCGUGGAGGGUCAUUGGAAACUGGUCGACUUGAGUGCAGAAGAGGGAAGUGGAAUUCCAUGUGUAGCGGUGAAAUGCGUAGAGAUAUGGAGGAACACCAGUGGCGAAGGCGGCUUCCUGGUCUGUAACUGACACUGAGGCGCGAAAGCGUGGGGAGCAAACGGGAUUAGAUACCCUGGUAGUCCACGCCGUAAACGAUGAGUGCUAAGUGU